rnacentral:lncRNA from 1 species
AACAUGUGAAAAUGCGGUGCAUCCACUAUGCCACCUACUUUUUUGGAUUUUCCUGACAUUUCUCGCCCGAAAGCUGCAGACCUUCUUGGAGUUGACAAACUGGAGUAGUCGGUUGGUUUAGGAAAAAGGUCCUUUACGCCUUGAGAUCGGCAGCCGAGAACACGCCGAGGGACUUUCCGUUCAAGUCCGACACCUCGUACGAGCUGGUGCCCUUCUUACGGACGAUGAUGCACGGUGUGUACUGGGGUCCGAGCUUAGCGUUGUAUUGGUCUCCUGCCGACGACUGCCGAAAGCUUUUUUUAUACACACGCUGACCCACAUCGAAACUUGUUCUCAACAUUCCACGCAACAUACGAAUGCAUUGACUGCGCGACACUCCUGCUGUGUUGACUUCGCGGAUGGUUAAUUCAUGCUGCAACUCAUCAUCAAGCAAAUGAUUUGCAUCCAUCGAGUAGUAUUGGGCUCGAAGAGUAUCGUGUUCCAUUUUGAAAAUGCGUAGGAAAAUCAACAAAUUUAAAAUUUAAAAAGAACGAUCACUACAAAUUGAAACAAAAAAAUAAAUUAACAAAAAUUUUAAUUGAAAUUAGUACGUAAGUUUGUAAAGAAGCUUUCGUCCAAACGAAUUGCUUCUGUGGCUAAUAAAUGCUCACUUUUCUUGUUGUUUUAUUUCAA